ACAGCGAUAGCUCAGCUGGUAGAGCAUCUGCCUGGUAUGCGGAGGGUCGCCGGUUCCAUCCCGGCUCGCGGAG
rnacentral:tRNA from 1 species